CCUACGGGAGGCAGCAGUAGGGAAUUUUCGGCAAUGGGGGGAACCCUGACCGAGCAACGCCGCGUGAGGGAGGAAGUAUUUCGGUAUGUAAACCUCUGUUAUAACGGAAGAACGGUGCAUGUAGGGAAUGACAUGCAAGUGACGGUACUGUAUGAGGAAGCCACGGCUAACUACGUGCGCGCAGCCGCGGUAAUCCGUAGGUGGCGAGCGUUAGCCGGAUUUAUUGGGCGAAAAGAGGGAGCGGGCGGCCGCUAAGGGCUGCGGUGAAAGCCCGAGGCUAAACUUCGGUGAGCCGUGGUAACCGGGCAGCUAGAGUGCAGUAGAGGAUCGUGGAAUUCCAGGUGUAGCGGUGAAAUGCGUAGAGAUAUGGAGGAACACCAGUGGCGAAGGCGACGAUCUGGGCUGCAACUGACGCUCAGUCCCGAAAGCGUGGGGAGCAAAUAGGAUUAGAUACCCGAGUAGUC
rnacentral:rRNA from 1 species